CUACUGUAUAUAUAUUUUCCUUUGGCGCUAAAAAAACAGUUUUUCAAAACAUUUUUGUCGUGUGUAAAUUAUUAUACGGGGAAAAAAAAAACAAUUCUUACAAAAAUCUACGGAAACACUAUAAAUUCCAAAGCAAUUCUUAAACAGUGUCGAUUCCCCACUAUGCCCCGCUUUUCGCUGAUUGCCUCGCUUACUUAACACUCUAGUCGACUAGUACCUUCUAAUGCAUGGCAGUUGGACCACACGAGGUAGUUGGUUGAAGUUUGUUCUGCAUUGGGAUUAUUUCUGCUUAAAAUAUUACCAAAGAUGUGACGUCACGAAGUGGUGACGACACAAAAGAAGAACUCACUUCGUUUAGUAUGUGACGUCACAGAGGAUCAACCGGUCAGAUGCGCGUCAUGCAAGAAUAAAGAUAAUUGAAGAAGGAACAGAAAAUAAGCGCAAGACGAAAGUAAAGAAUAGACGAAAACGCUGUUGAAGAAUUCAUGGUUUGAAGUUUAAGGUUUAUAAAGUAUGAGUUGUGUGUUUUGAUAUCUGUUUGUUUGUAUGUGUCGGUUACUUUAAUCUGCUGGAUCUAAUGUUGCCAGCAAUUUUUAAUCAGUCACUAUCAUAGUGCAUUUUACAUAUCUAUGAAAUACAUACAAAAAAAACUAUGGCGAACAUCUUGCUGGAUAGAUUUUAAUCGUUUUUCAGUUUUGAGUCAUUUUUUGGCGUUUCUGUACGAUUUUAAUAGAUUGUUGGUACACAAAUACUCAAGUAAUAACAACACGCAGUAUAAUAUGCGCAUAAACUCCAUUCUCACAAUAAUUCCCUCUUCCCCAAUUUUAUAUUUAAAUUUAAGUUAAAACAACAAGUUAUAGUAAUAUUAACGCACAGUAUAAUAUGCACGUUAAUGCUGUCUUUGCAUUAAUCAAAUUUAUUUCCCAAUUUUGUAC